rnacentral:misc_RNA from 1 species
GAUGAAGAACGUAGUGAAAUGCGAUAAGUAAUGUGAAUUGCAGAAUUCAGUGAAUCAUCGAAUCUUUGAACGCACAUUGCGCCCGCUAGUAUUCCGGCGGGCAUGCCUGUUCGAGCGUCAUUUCAACCCUCAAGCCCCCGGGUUUGGUGUUGGGGAUCGGCUCUGCCUUACGGCGGUGCCGCCCCCGAAAUACAUUGGCGGUCUCGCUGCAGCCUCCAUUGCGUAGUAGCUAACACCUCGCAACUGGAACGCGGCGCGGCCAUGCCGUAAAACCCCAACUUCUGAAUGUUGACCUCGGAUCAGGUAGGAAUACCCGCUGAACUUAAGCAUAUCAAUAAGCGGAGGA